rnacentral:rRNA from 1 species
UAAGGAAUAUUGGACAAUGGGCGAAAGCCUGAUCCAGCCAUGCCGCGUGAAGGACGAAGGCGCUCAGCGUUGUAAACUUCUUUUGGAUGGGAACAAUAACUCCGACUUGUCGGAACUUGAGGGUACCAUCAGAAUAAGCACCGGCUAACUCCGUGCCAGCAGCCGCGGUAAUACGGAGGGUGCAAGCGUUAUCCGGAAUCACUGGGUUUAAAGGGUGCGUAGGCGGCCCGAUAAGUCAGUCGUGAAAUCGCUGGGCUCAACCCAUGCAAUUGCGAUUGAUACUGUCAGGCUUGAAUAUGGUUGAGGCUAGCGGAAUGCGGCAUGUAGCGGUGAAAUGCUUAGAUAUGCCGCAGAACACCGAUUGCGAAGGCAGCUAGCUGGGCCUUUAUUGACGCUGAGGCACGAAAGCGUGGGGAGCAAACAGG